UACAUUUUAAAUUCAUUUAUUACUUGCCUACAUAUACAAUGUUUCGACGUUACGUUACAUUUACAGUUAUCUCUUAAAUAUUUCUGACUUUUAAAAUAUUCAGAUCCGUAUGUUAAAAACGUUCUAACAAGAUCCUCUGAAACAAAUGUGUCAAAUUACAUAUAUAAAACCGUCAAAUGUUCCCUCAUAUCAUAGUUCACAAUCUUUCGGCUUGCUUCACGAUACAAACGAUGAAAAAUAUUUGAAAGCACUUAAACCACGACCGUUUCACUGUGUGGACAGUUCAAAUUUUUUAUAUGACAUCCAAACGACGGUUGUACACCACCCCGAAAAUCAACACACGGUUUCCAUUUUACCACAAAUCUUGCUUUAGAAUGUUUCUCACUAUCGUGUGCAUACAUUAUACACGUAUCCAACGACAACGUAGAUCUUUCAACAUUCACACUUUUCAGUCAAAUCCGUAUACAUAUAGUACUUGACCGUAAAUACCAUCUCCUUAUACAAAAUAUGCACUUUGGUCUCUGUACGUUGACGUAAUUUUGAAAAUCUUUCAUACAAAUACAAAUCUUCUUUACACGGGCUCAUGAAACAAAACAGCAUCAUCAUACACGUAUUUUUGAUCAACAAAUUUUUUCAACAUAGACAAGCACAUUUCUGUACAUCUACAACGUGGAACCACGAACAAUAUACUAUGUUGUUCCUCGACACUCCAUCGAUUGGAUUGACACAACGACGUCAUACAUAAUUUUAUCUUAAAUUGCAUCUUGAAUAUAUAUUUUAAAAUUUGUGCCAAACGAAAAGAUGCAUACAUACAACACACGUCAUUACAGAUUUCUCUCGUCUCCAAAUCCGUCCAAGGAGUACAUUGUGAUAAACCCGCAAGAAAAAUUUUUGUUUUACGAUAUAUGAAAUGGUACAAAUCACCAG
rnacentral:lncRNA from 1 species